UCUGAUAAAAAACGUUAUUCAUAAUCGUUUAUAAACCUUUGAUAGCUAAAACAGAGUUUAAUAUUUUCUUUCCACAGACUAUACAAAAAGAAUGAACGAAAACAGCUUUUUUGGUGAUUUAACUUGAUGGACCAUGUAAAAUCAUAGACAAAUCGCAGAAAAAAAAAACAAAAAAUUGGCAGCUGUGACGUUUUACUUACUGACAUUGACAUUUGGCACGAAAAUUUAAUAAAGUUUUCGGUUUUUUCGAUCAACUCCCAAGUUUUAUCAAACUUUUAUAAAACUUGGGAUUGUAUGUUCUGGAUUCUGUACCUCUUACCCUGUACUCUGCAAUAAGCUCUUACGACGACCCGGCUAGUUACAUCGGAUACUAAUUAUGUCCAUGACGAAGGAGAACAGACCGCCUAAAAGGCAACGAUCAGAAAACUGGUUGGAGGAAGAUAAGUGUUUGCUUUUCAGUAUUUGCUGAAAGAGUUGGUGAAAGAAAGAGUAAAUGCAAUCGAAAAUAAAAAUACAGACACUAACACGAAUAAACGGAAGGUUGCGGCUUGGGCUGAUUUACAAACAACGUUGGUACAUCUUUUGAUUUCUGCCUUCAAUAUAAAAUUUUGCCUUUACCUGUAAUUCAAAAUCCUGUCAUUUCUUUUUCAGGUUUAAUUCAAUGUGCGCUGGUAUGAACCGCUCCAUUACCCAGUUAAAAUCGCAAUGGAGUCACCUC